CGCUGGCGGCAGGCCUAACACAUGCAAGUCGAACGCUCGUAGCAAUACGGGAGUGGCAGACGGGUGCGUAACGCGUGGGAACAUACCCUUUGGUUCGGAAUAACUCAGGGAAACUUGAGCUAAUACCGGAUACGCCCGAGAGGGGAAAGAUUUAUUGCCGAAGGAUUGGCCCGCGUCUGAUUAGCUAGUUGGUAGGGUAACGGCCUACCAAGGCGACGAUCAGUAGCUGGUCUGAGAGGAUGAUCAGCCACACUGGGACUGAGACACGGCCCAGACUCCUACGGGAGGCAGCAGUGGGGAAUAUUGGACAAUGGGCGCAAGCCUGAUCCAGCCAUGCCGCGUGAGUGAUGACGGCCUUAGGGUUGUAAAGCUCUUUUACCUGGGAAGAUAAUGACGGUACCAGGAGAAUAAGCCCCGGCUAACUUCGUG
rnacentral:rRNA from 1 species